GGGUAUGAGAGCAAUCUGGCUAUGGCUUUGACCAUUAGGGUUCAUCUGACUGUUAUGGCUGGCAUAUGGCAGUCUUUGUCCUCUGUCAGGGCUCCAGUUAUGCCUCCGUCAAAGCUGUAUGCAGGGAAGAGGACAACCUUCCCUGAUAAUGGACAACCAUUCUUCAGUGUGUUCCUCUGCUAGAAUUUUAAGCUUUCAAGGUCCUUUGUAGGAGAAUUAUAUAGCUGAACUUCCAAGACCCCAGAGACAUCCAAAUGAGGCACUGCACUAGGGAAUGUACCUUUCUAA
ensembl:misc_RNA 7SK 7SK RNA